UAAUUUGAGAACAAACCAAAAGGUACUGUAAAAAUGCAGUGCCCUUAAUAUAAUGAGCACCAAUGGGAAACCUACCUUAAGUUUAACAUUUCCCAUUAAUUACCCAGGAAGUUGUGUGUGCAUACAAAACUGAAGAGUGGCUACAGUUACAGGUAAAAUUAAAAAGUUUAAACACAGUGAGGUGAGGGGAGACACAGGGAGUGAAGUGGGUUGAAAAUUCCCAAAGUUCCGCAAGUAGUAAGAAUUUUCUUGUUUUUUACCCAAUUAGUGUGACUUAUCUUACAUUCCCUAAACUAGAAAAGAUAUUAAAAUUUAAGUGGUUACAUAUAAAAAUCAUCCUCCAUAACAGUACAACAUGAAAGUUAAAGCCUGCCUUUAACACUUCCUUGAAGUCUGAAAUCCACAAGCUCAUUUAUGGAAUUCACUGUUAAUCAGGGUGAAUUACCAGUAAAUUUGAGUGGAGCAUCUAAGUCUGCUGUUUACUAUACAGACAUGGUCAGACGCAUUAUAAGAAAAAUUAAAAAUAUCAAAAGACCAGAUACUAAAGCAACAUAACAGUCAGAAUGAAAAAGCCACCAAAGAAUAUAAACAUAGAGACUCAGAAGGAAUCUGAGAAACGACGGGUCACUUCCUCACUUCAUUCAACUCCUCCGAGGCCUUCCCUAACCACUCCAUCUAAAAUAGCUGCCCCUAUCACAUUCUAUUCCUGUGCCCUGACUUACUCUUCUCAGAGCAGUUGCCUCUAUGGGUCAGUACAUUAUAGAGAUGCAUUGACUCACUGCCUCCCACCUAAAACGUAGGCUCUAUGAGGGUAGAGCCUGCGUCAGUUUUGUCAAUCCCAGGACCUAGAGGCACACCGCUGGCACUCGAUAAAGGUGCCCAAUAAAUAUAAGUGAUGAAACUGAAGUUCAGAGAGGUUAAAGGAUUCCCUAAAGGUCACAGAACCAGCAGCAAGCCCUGCCCCUACUGUAACCGUCUGCUUGCUCUUCUCAUUCCACUUGCACCACACCAAAGCAGGCUGUCCCAGCACAGACACUGUUAAACAGACUUCUCCUUUUCUCUUCUUUUCUUUCAGGAUCAAAGAAAAUACAUGUUACCAAAAAAAGAGUGACACACUGGGUAGCAUUUUAACUUCAAGUGUCUCAAACCAACCAAAACUACACUCCAAUUUCAUAAACAUGCAGGAUCAGCCAGGAAAGCACAGCUCUUUAAGUUCCUUGUGAAAUUGGUGUCUGGCUUGGAAGUUUUCAAGAAGAGCCACUUAACCGGCUCAGAAUGGCCUGCAAAGUCUCAGCCUCACUUUCAUUCUCCUAAGAGGCCACAACUGCUCCCCCCUGGAUAGACUCUAUUUUGCAGAUGAUGCCGGAAAUGUAACCAACUUUAAAGCCCCUCUCAGUCCCUUUGAGAGUCAAAGUCGAUCCCACAAAACACUGAACACAACAUUAAUCCUCGGGGAAGUUUUAGAUUCUGGGAACAGGAAACCAUCUCUCAACUACCAUCUGACUGCGAUCCUCUCUACUAGUGGGUCCUGCCUUCACAAUCCGUGAAUCUGAAAUACCUAAAAGCAACGCGGGAGGGGGUGAGGGAGUGGGAGGAAGAGAAGACACAUUUACAUAUGUAAGGAGCGGGCUGCCUAUGCCUAGUAACACUUUCUCCCCCAACACCAGCUUCUCGCCGACAGCCCAGGCCGCACAGGUUCAACUUCUGUCGUCUCCUCCGCUCACCUUCCUCUCGGAGGAGCCUAUCGCCCAUCCCUACCGCGGGGACGUCUCUAGACCUAGGACAGAGGAUGAUUUGCCCGACGUCUUCCAAACUACUGCUGGCCCCAUUAGUGCACGAAAGGGAAGCCCUGCAACGAGCGACGGCCGGAGCGUGGAAAGGAGACAGAGUUCAGAGAAGGAAGGAGCAAACGCAGAGGAGCGGGAGGGAGCUCCGAUCGCCCCUCUCUCCUAUGCUGCUUUGUUGACACCUCGUUGAAAAAGUGCUCCGCUGAAGUCGCUUGCCCUUUGUGGUUAAUCUUGCAGUAAAUCUUUAAAAGUUGCAGAUAUCCGAGGCUAUGUUAUGUCGGUCUCCUUUCCCCCACCUUAUUCCCGCGCAGUUUUUACUCAAUUCAACAACUGUUUGAUUACCAGUUAUAUCUGUCGCUGGGACUAUUGAGAUAAAUGACAUUUCCUGUCCUCAAAGGGAAGUUGGCAAGUGUAUCAUCGACCUCCCGGAGCCUUAGAGCUACGCUGCCCCAAGAAAACAAAGUCCCUUUCUGCUCCCUGGAACUGUCUCAGGUUCCCAGGCACGGCUCCCUUUUCACUUGUCCGGUCCCGUUUCUCCACGGUUCACCUGCAAACGGGCAACAGCGCCAGCCUCCCAAAGGAGCCGGAGUUCCUGCAGCCGGAGUUCCUGCAGCCGUUUCUGUGCAAAUGUUACCCCUCCCCAAGCCCCUGAAAUGUCACUGUACGUGCAGGCCACAACCAUAAUGAAAGGAACACAUUUGGAAAAGUAUAUAACAAAUGCAAAUGAAAUUAAGCACUUAUUUGGUCUUCAUCACAAGUUAUUUGUAGUUUUUUUUUUGUUCUGUGGGAUGGACUUCUGAAAUACCAGAUCUGAUGGCCAUGAAAAAAAUGUAAAGAUAUAGGCUGAUGAGUGACAUGUCAAGGAAGGACAUCCUGUCCCUCUCCCCUGUCGCUUCCCUUCCCAUGGCUGCUUGUGGAAAGGGCAGGAAACACAUGGUGUCUGCCAAUAACAGUGGCAAGCUCUAUUCUCCUAUAAUAUUGAAUGUUUCUGUUUCAUUAAUUCACUCUUUAUUAUAAUAAAAGUUUGAUACCUGG